GACGCUUUGGUGGAGUGGUUAACACGUAUCCCUGCUAUUAAGCAUUUCGUUUAUCGAAGGGAAGGAUAUCCUCUUUGAGGGCGUGAGUUCGAAUCUCACAGGCGUCG
rfam:Tstilago maydis 521 chromosome 8, whole genome shotgun sequence.